AACGAACGCUGGCGGCAGGCUUAACACAUGCAAGUCGAGCGCCCCGCAAGGGGAGCGGCAGACGGGUGAGUAAAGCGUGGGAAUCUACCCAUCUCUACGGAAUAACGCAUGGAAACGUGUGCUAAUAACGUAUACGUCCUUCGGGAGAAAGAUUUAUCGGAGAUGGAUGAGCCCGCGUUGGAUUAGCUAGUUGGUGGGGUAAAGGCCUACCAAGGCGACGAUCCAUAGCUGGUCUGAGAGGAUGAUCAGCCACACUGGGACUGAGACACGGCCGAGACUCCUACGGGAGGCAGCAGGGGGGAAUAUUGGACAAUGGGCGCAAGCCUGAUCCAGCCAUGCCGCGUGAGUGAUGAAGGCCAUAGGGUUGUAAAGCUCCUUCACCGGUGAAGAUAAUGACGGUAACCGGAGAAGAAGCCCCGGCUAACUUCGUGCCAGCCGCCGCGGUAAGAC
rnacentral:rRNA from 1 species